rnacentral:tRNA from 1 species
GCUUUCCUAGUAUAAGUUAGUACAUUUGAUUUCGAAUCUUUUAGUUCAUUGAAGAGGAAGGUG